AUUGAACGCUGGCGACAUGCCUUACACAUGCAAGUCGAACGGUAACAGGUUAAGCUGACGAGUGGCGAACGGGUGAGUAGUGUAUCGGAACGUGCCCAGUCGUGGGGGAUAACUACUCGAAAGAGUGGCUAAUACCGCAUACGACCUGAGGGUGAAAGCGGGGGACCGUAAGGCCUCGCGCGAUUGGAGCGGCCGAUAUCAGAUUAGCUAGUUGGUGGGGUAAAAGCCCACCAAGGCGACGAUCUGUAGCUGGUCUGAGAGGACGACCAGCCACACUGGGACUGAGACACGGCCCAGACUCCUACGGGAGGCAGCAGUGGGGAAUUUUGGACAAUGGACGCAAGUCUGAUCCAGCCAUGCCGCGUGCGGGAAGAAGGCCUUCGGGUUGUAAACCGCUUUUGUCAGGGAAGAAACGAGUUUCUCUAAUACAGAGACUUAAUGACGGUACCUGAAGAAUAAGCACCGGCUAACUACGUGCCAGCCGCCGCCGUAAUAC
rnacentral:rRNA from 1 species